ACAGAUCAAUAUGUAAAUAAAUAAAAUCAUGCCACAGAGUGUUAAGAACAAAAAAAGGUUAAAUACUAGUACUAGUACUUUCAUUUAAUUGUGGUGCAUAAAGAACACUUUAACUUUUACUCAAGUCACUAUUUUGAUAGAGCACUUGUACUUUUACUCAAGUCUUAGUCUCUAGUACUUUAAUACAGCUGUGGACUACUAAAUAAAUACUAAAAUUAACUGAUUAGCUGAUAUUUCAACGUUAAAGGUCGGUUGUGAGCCAGGUGGGAAGAGUAGUUUUACUUGCCAUUUAGGCCACACCCCCACAGCGCGGGGGUUGGGACAACUGAUUUGUUUGAACAAACUUCUCAUAAUUGUUUUUAAACAGACUUUACAAACAUAACAUAAAGCUUUUGUGUGGUUUUAAUGCAAAACAAAUAAGUUUUAAACAGCAAAUUAUAGCUAAAAAGGCUUUCUAGCUGCAGGGACUGUGCAGGGAUCCUAAUAGCUGAACGAGCUAAACUGGCUAACCUGUAUGUACAGCAGGCAGUUUGUGUCUGAGUUACGCCGUGCAGUUUGCAGUGUGCCAAGCCCAGAGUAGGAAUGAUGAAGACGCGGUUCUCCCUAUACAGGGUCUCUGUGGGUCGAGAGCCAAUCCAUUGGGCAUUGGGUGCAGGAAUACCACUUGGACAGGGCACCAGUCCAUUACAGGGUCUCCCACUGUCUUCUGCUGCUCUGUGCCACUUGACUUGACAUGACUGCAGCAGGUUUCAGGACAAAACAAGCAACUUACUUCCCAG